AGUUAGCAAUUUACAGUACGUGGGUGUGUACAUGUGUGUGGAGGGGGGUGAGGCUGUUAAGAGUUUAAAAGCGGAAGAGGAGUCGGUUCAGAUCCUGUAUUGAAGUCGGGGAAGCCACUGGCACUUUCUGUUCAAACAUUUGAGAGGACCAACUUGCCUCGCUGCAACGCCCGGCUCCGCCACCAAACAGACAAGAAAGACUUCUCGCUGCCAUGUUUUUCGGCUCAACUUCCUUCCUGCCCAGGAGCGCUGGAGUAUCUCGUUAGUUCUCUCACAGCAAACGUCUCCUCUCUAUCUGCCGAGAGCAAAACUAGAAAGGGGGGCUACAUCAAGAAGUUGGGCGUGUGAGAUUCUCUGCAGAGCUAGCCUACAGUCAAUGGAAGCUGUGCUCAUUUGGGAUGAAAUCAG